AUUGAACGCUGGCGGCAGGCCUAACACAUGCAAGUCGAGCGAGCGGCGGACGGGUGAGUAAUGUCUGGGAAACUGCCUGCUGGCGGGGGAUAACUCCUGGAAACGCUAGCUAAUACCGCAUCCCAUCAGAUGUGCCCAGAUGGGAUUAGCUAGUAGGUGGGGUAACGGAUCACCUAGGCUACGAUCCCUCGCUGGUCUGCGAGGAUGACCAGCCACACUGGAACGGAGACACGGGCCAGACUCCUACGGGAGGCAGAGGGGGGGAAUAUUGCAAAAUGGGCGCAAGCCUGAGGCAGCCAGGCGGCGUGGAUGAAGAAGGCCGUCGGGUUGUAAAGCACUUUCAGCGGGGAGGCGUUACCCGAAGAAGAAGCACCGGCUAACUCCGUGCCAGCAGCCGCGGUAAUUC
rnacentral:rRNA from 1 species